rfam:Myotis lucifugus cont2.1406, whole genome shotgun sequence.
GGCAGUUCUCAGGUGAUGCACCCCGAAUCGGACCCUUCCUCUCUGGUUCUGGGUGGGUCAUCCGAGAACCACU